GAGCACAGGGUAACUGGGGAGAUGUCAUCCGAGGGCCUGCCCCAGACGGGAGGAUAAUUAUAGUCUCCUCCUCCUGCUCCUCCUCCUCCUCCACCCCGGGUGCUGGCGCAGAACUCUGAUCAAGCCCCAAGUGGAUUGCAACGCACGCACACAUUUGCUGAACCUUCACUACUUGCUAGGUACCUUCUAGUCUUGAAGAAUAUGAAGGUCACUGAAAACCAGACAAGAGUACCGCACUGGCUGUAGAAAGGGAGAACAGGGGAACACACACACCUCCCCCCCAGGGAGGAUGGCCAUCUCUCUUUCACUUUCCUUUUGGAAUUUUGGGCAGGAUACACCAAGAUGAUUCUAGGAAACAUGACUGGAUAUUGACAUCUUGUCUAGCAAACGAGAUCCACACAGCAAAGAUGUUUUGUGACGAUGUGGCAACAUGACUAGGAAAUAAAGUCAUUACGGUGAUGUGGGUGUUAGAUACUGACACCAGACAGUCCUUGGGUACUGCUUUUAGUAGAAGGUAACCCUGGGCUAUGCAAGUUGCCUCAGAGCACCUGCCUCAUCUGUGGCCCUCUUUGUGCCAUAUGACCAACCCUAACUGCCCUGGCCACAACUGACUGAACGGGGGAGCAUCACUUGACUUGAACAACGUCCUCCCCAUAGAUUGUCAAGAGGCCCACACAGUGGGCUAGCACUAGAGAGCUGAGCCUAAGAGCUGUGCAUUAUAAUGGCUUGUGACUGGCCAAUUUU